rnacentral:lncRNA from 1 species
UCUUCACAGCUGUAUCCAUGGAUUGCUAGGUGCCUCUUCCUGUCACCCAGCCUCCCUUGCAGCCAGUGAAACGGGUCGCCUCCUCUGGAAAGCUUUCCCUGACCUUCCUAGGGCCCCAAACUACAUCAUUGCUCAUCACCUGUCUACCGCCUCUCCUCCAAGGCAAGGGCCACGGGGUUUGUUCGUCACUGAGUUCCCAGGACUGGCUCUGUGAUUUCCCAAGAGGCUGAGUCUCGGCCUGAGAGUCUGGACACUGGCUCCCUUUGCAGCAUCGCCCUCGGAUGAGAGCGCCACGAAGGCUGGAGGCGGGGCGCACAUGGCCCUGGGUGGACAUGGGCAGUUACUGAUGGAGCCCAGGCCAUUAACGGUCUCCCGUGUCUGAAACCCUUCCAUUAAUAAGUGCUAAUGGCUGAUAUUUACCGAGGACCUGGUACGUCCCAGACAUGUUC